GGUCCCGUAGCUCAGUUGGUUA
rnacentral:siRNA from 1 species